AAAAUUUUUUAGGAACUAAACAAGACCUAAGAUCAAGUGUAGUAUUUGUUCUUAUCAGUUUAAUAUCUGAUAUGUGGGCCAUGUGUCCACUUUGAUAUUAAAUUUAUUUUUUGUGGGGGAGGGCUCAUUACAGUAGCUCGCUACUGGGGCCCUCACGCGUCGCUUGGGCGUUGCACUACUGCCCUAGCCUGGCGCGCCCCAA
rnacentral:snRNA from 2 species